GUGCUCGCUUCAGCAGCACAUAUACUAAAAUUGGAAUGAUACAGAGAAGAUUAGCAUGGCCCCUGCACAAAGAUGACAUACAAAGUCAUGAAUCGUUCCAUAUUUUU
ensembl:snRNA U6 U6 spliceosomal RNA